AGCAGCCGCGGUAAUUCCAGCUCCAAUAGCGUAUAUUAAAGUUGUUGCAGUUAAAAAGUUCGUAGUUGAACUUCGGGAUUUGCCCAUUGGUCAGGCUUAACUGUCCGCACUGGUGUGACGAGUUCCUACCUUCUGAGGAAUCUCCAUGUCAUUCAGUUGGUGUGGGGGGAAAUCAGGACUGUUACUUUGAAAAAAUUAGAGUGUUUAAAGCAGGCGUCCGUCUGAAUACAUUAGCAUGGAAUAAUAAAAUAGGACGGUUUGGUUCUAUUUUGUUGGUUUCUAGGAUCACCGUAAUGAUUAAUAGGGAUAGUUGGGGGCAUUAGUAUUCAAUUGUCAGAGGUGAAGUUCUUGGAUUUAUUGAAGACUAACUACUGCGAAAGCAUUUGCCAAGGAUGUUUUCAUUAAUCAAGAACGAAAGUUAGGGGAUCGAGGACGAUCAGAUACCGUCGU
rnacentral:rRNA from 1 species